GACCCCAAAUUUUUGGGAUAAAAUCUUAGUUGAGCUGAGUUAUUGCAUUUCCCUGUGGUGAACUUUUCUUUUAAGUCUCCAUAAAAAAAAUGGGUAACUCUACCACAUUCUUGAAAAGCAAACUCUAAUACCCCAACAUAGUGCUUCUUUGAAUGCAGAAUAUCAAAACAGAAAAUUCUAACCGUCAUUAGCAUACUCGAUCUUAAUUUGAUUAAAAGUACCAACAAAUUUUCACCCAUAUAAAGAAAUGGAAUCCCAUUUAGAAUUUAUACAACGACUUCUACUUAACUUUCUUGAAUACUGCUCAAAGUCCUGAGAGCAGCUACAAACUGAAAGCAAAGAUGGCAUCGAGCUCGAAGCUCGAUCCAAUACCAGCUGAACAAAGCAAAACCGUUUACACUUUAUCAAUGAUAUCAAAGCCUACUAUCUAGCAGCCAAAAAUAUAUUUAUCAAAUCAUUUAACCUGAUUUCACCUAUAUUACCUAAGAAAACGAAAAACCAAUACCAAUUCACGCAUUAAAAGCUUCCAAGCCGUCCCCACCA
rnacentral:misc_RNA from 1 species